rnacentral:lncRNA from 1 species
UAACCAUGUUAACUACAACUAUUAACAUCUUUCCAAACUCAUGAACUUUUAGUCCAAAGGGGAUUACAAGAAGUUAAAGUAAAACCUGCCCUUCAUAAAUUCUUCUUCAGCAGGGCCCCGCCCAACCACUCGCCCACCGAAUCAUCGAUUUGAGACUCCAUCCAUCCUCGCAGAUCAUCAAGACCACCUUACCAUGGUCAACUCUCCCACGUCAAGUUGCAUCA